ACGCUGGCGGUGCGCCUUAUGCAUGCAAGUCGAGCGAAGCUUUUCAGUAGUUUACUACAGAAAAUGACUGAGCGGCGAACGGGUGAGUAACGCGUGAGCAACCUACCUUAGUUACUGGGAUAGCCCGAGGAAACUCGGAUUAAUACCGGAUAUUCUUAUUUAAUCACAUGGUUUUUUAAGGAAAGGUCAGCCGAACUAAGAUGGGCUCGCGUUCUAUCAGCUAGUUGGUAGGGUAACGGCCUACCAAGGCUACGACGGAUAGCUGGUCUGAGAGGACGAUCAGCCACACUGGGACUGAGACACGGCCCAGACUCCUACGGGAGGCUGCAGCAGGGAAUAUUGUGCAAUGAACGAAAGUUUGACACAGCGACACCGCGUGUGGGAUGACGGAUCUAGGUUUGUAAACCACUUUCAGGAGGGAAGAAAAUGACGGUACCUCCACAAGAAGCCCCGGCCAACUACGUGCCAGCAGCCGCGGUAAUACGUAGGGGGCGAGCGUUGUCCGGAUUUAUUGGGCGUAAAGAGCUCGUAGGCGGUUCAACAAGUCGGUCGUGAAAGUUCAGGGCUCAACCCUGAAAUGUCGAUCGAUACUGUUGUGACUAGGAUACGGCAGAGGUGAGUGGAAUUCCGAGUGUAGCGGUGAAAUGCGUAGAUAUUCGGAGGAACACCAAUUGCGAAGGCAGCUCACUGGGCCGCUAUCGACGCUGAGGAGCGAAAGCUAGGGGAGCAAACAGGAUUAGAUACCCUGGUAGUCCUAGCUGUAAACGAUGGAUACUAGAUGUAGGAAUUGGUUUAACGAUUUCUGUAUCGUAGCUAACGCGUUAAGUAUCCCGCCUGGGGAGUACG
rnacentral:rRNA from 1 species